AACGAACGCUGGCGGCAUGCCUAACACAUGCAAGUCGAACGAAGUCUUCGGACUUAGUGGCGCACGGGUGAGUAACGCGUGGGAACCUGCCCUUCGGUACGGAAUAACGUCGGGAAACUGACGCUAAUACCGUAUAUGUCUCUGGAUGAAAGAUUUAUCGCCGGAGGAGGGGCCCGCGUCUGAUUAGCUAGUUGGUGAGGUAAUGGCUCACCAAGGCGACGAUCAGUAGCUGGUCUGAGAGGAUGAUCAGCCACACUGGGACUGAGACACGGCCCAGACUCCUACGGGAGGCAGCAGUGGGGAAUAUUGGACAAUGGGGGCAACCCUGAUCCAGCAAUGCCGCGUGAGUGAUGAAGGCCUUCGGGUUGUAAAGCUCUUUUGGCAGGGACGAUGAUGACGGUACCUGCAGAAUAAGCCCCGGCUAACUUCGUGCCAGCCGCCGCCGUAACAC
rnacentral:rRNA from 1 species